CCCACAUGUUUGAAAGCUUUUGAGGCAUAGUAUGUGUUCAUACUACCACACAAAAGACAUGUAUCCACAGCGCUGCAGAAUUGUGUGGUACUAAUUUGCAUAAGUUGUGCAGAACUGGCAGGUGUUUCUACUAAGGACCACUGACCAGCUGACCUCCUGGAAGGCAGUUAACAAGAGGAGAUGAGAGAAAACCAGACUAGCUGCAUUUGGGAAGGUCUUAGAUAUGGAAACUGUGGACGUGCAUUUCAGUGCCUGCCCAGCAAACAUGGUGGAGGAAGAGCAUGUGUGGUUCCAGGAUGAAGAUCUCCUCCUGCUCUGUGGAAAUGAGUUCCAAUUAACAUCAAUGAUUUCAGAAGACCUGUUCUGGAAGCUGUUUUGUUUCAUCCCAUGUGUCCAUUUUCCUGAUGGGAAUAUGUCUGUAUCAAGUCUAUAAAAUACUACUUUUACAGAAAUGAAUAAAUUAAUUGUGAAUACUUCCGAUGG